rnacentral:rRNA from 1 species
UCGGGAAUUUUGGGCAAUGGGCGAAAGCCUGACCCAGCAACGCCGCGUGAAGGAUGAAGUAUUUCGGUAUGUAAACUUCACAAGAAUGGGAAGAAUAAGUGGGGGAUAACACCCCCCAUGAUGACGGUACCAUUUGUAAGCUCCGGCUAACUCCGUGCCAGCAGCCGCGGUAAUACGGGGGGAGCAAGCGUUGUUCGGAUUUACUGGGCGUAAAGGGCGCGUAGGCGGCGCAACAAGUCAGUUGUGAAAUCUCUGAGCUUAACUCAGAGCGGUCAACUGAUACUGUCGUGCUAGAGUGCAGAAGGGGCAACUGGAAUUCUCGGUGUAGCGGUGAAAUGCGUAGAUAUCGAGAGGAACACCUGCGGCGAAGGCGGGUUGCUGGGCUGACACUGACGCUGAGGCGCGAAAGCUAGGGGAGCGAACGG